GAGCACUGUUUUUACUGAGGAGGAUGUCUGCAUUACUUGCAUACCUCCAUCAUUACAGUGCUAGAUUAUCCUCAGUUUGCAGAAGGGCUGUGUCAAAUAUUGGUGCCUCCCUUUCGAAGACUGAGAACAUAA